AAAAAUAUGAAGAAAAAGAAAGCCCAAAAAGAAGAAAUACUAGGAAAAAAAACAUAAAGAAUUCAUGCUAACCACCCCAGAAAUUAGUAGUCUAACUUUGUUUUUUUUUUUUUCCCCUUUUACGGAAAGAGGUCAGGUGAUUAGUCACGAGUCGUGAACUUCAGAGAGGCGUCCAAACAGGCACACCGAGAGAAGAGAGGGAGGAGAGGCAGGCAGGAAAACUUGAGGAGAAAAGGAAAAGCCAUGUGCCUCAAAAGUCUUUUUAAGUGUUUGGGCCUGGUGUUGUGCAUAAUGACUUUAGACGAGAGAAAAAGAAAGAC
rnacentral:RNase_P_RNA from 15 species